CCUACGGGAGGCAGCAGUAGGGAAUAUUGCUCCAUGGGGGAAACCCUGAAGCAGCAACGCCGCGUGGAGGAUGAAGGUUUUCGGAUUGUAAACUCCUUUUGUUAGAGAAGAUAAUGACGGUAUCUAACGAAUAAGCACCGGCUAACUCCGUGCCAGCAGCCGCGGUCAUACGGAGGGUGCAAGCGUUACUCGGAAUCACUGGGCGUAAAGAGCGCGUAGGCGGGAUAGCAAGUCAGAUGUGAAAUCCUAUGGCUUAACCAUAGAACUGCAUUUGAAACUGUUAUUCUAGAGUAUGGGAGAGGUAGGUGGAAUUCUUGGUGUAGGGGUAAAAUCCGUAGAGAUCAAGAGGAAUACUCAUUGCGAAGGCGACCUGCUAGAACAUAACUGACGCUGAUGCGCGAAAGCGUGGGGAGCAAACAGGAUUAGAUACCCCAGUAGUC
rnacentral:rRNA from 1 species